AGGCAGCAAGCGUUGUUCGGAGUUACUGGGCGUAAAGGGUGUGUAGGCGGUCUUCUAAGUUUGGUGUGAAAUCUCCCGGCUCAACUGGGAGGGUGCGCCGAAAACUGGGAGGCUAGAGUGCGGGAUGGGAGAGUGGAAUUCCUGGUGUAGCGGGGAAAUGCGUAGAUAUCAGGAGGAACACCUGUGGUGUAGACGGCUCUCUGGACCGCAACUGACGCUGAGACACGAAAGCGUGGGGAGCGAACAGG
rnacentral:rRNA from 1 species